rnacentral:rRNA from 1 species
UACGGGGGGAGCAAGCGUUGUUCGGAUUUACUGGGCGUAAAGGGCGGGUAGGCGGCCACCGCAAGUCAGUUGUGAAAUCUCUGGGCUUAACCCAGAAAGGUCAACUGAUACUGCGGGGCUAGAGUGCAGAAGGGGCAACUGGAAUUCUCGGUGUAGCGGUGAAAUGCGUAGAUAUCGAGAGGAACACCUGCGGCGAAGGCGGGUUGCUGGGCUGACACUGACGCUGAGGAGCGAAAGCGUGGGGAGCGAACAGG